rnacentral:rRNA from 1 species
GACGAACGCUGGCGGCGUGCUUAACACAUGCAAGUUGAACGAUGAAGCCGGAGCUUGCUCUGGUGAAUUAGUGGCGAACGGGUGAGUAACACGUGAGUAACCUGCCCUUGACUCUGGGAUAACUGCGGGAAACUGUAGCUAAUACCGGAUACGACCCUCGGAGGCAUCUCCUGGGGGUGGAAAGAAUUUCGGUCAAGGAUGGACUGGCGGCCUAUCAGCUAGGUGGGGAGGUAAAGGCUCACCAAGGCGACGACGGGUAGCCGGCCUGAGAGGGCGACCGGCCACACUGGGACUGAGACACGGCCCAGACUCCUACGGGAGGCAGCAGUAGGGAAUCUUCCGCAAUGGACGAAAGUCUGACGGAGCAACGCCGCGUGAGUGAUGAAGGCUUUCGGGUUGUAAAGCUCUUUUGUCAGGGAAGGAACAGCAGCUCUAACACAGUAUGCGAAUGACGGUACCUGAAGAAUAAGCACCGGCUAAC